AUUCCGACACGGAGAGGUAGUGACAACAAAUAACAAUACGGGUCCCAUACGGGUCUCGUAAUUGGAAUGAGUACAACUUAAACCCCUUAACGAGGAGCAAUUGGAGGGCAAGUCUGGUGCCAGCAGCCGCGGUAAUUCCAGCUCCAGUAGCGUAUAUUAAAGCUGUUGCGGUUAAAAAGCUCGUAGUUGGAUUUGAGGGCUCAGGGAGGCACGGUCUGCGCUACGCGUAUGCACUGGCCACCCGGCCCUUUCCUUCUGGAUGCUCGGUGCUGCUCUUAACUGAGUGGCGCUAAGGCGGGUUCACGCCUGCCGGAGUUCCAGAUCUGUUACUUUGAAAAAAUUAGAGUGUUCAAAGCAGGCUGCUUGUCAGCCCUGAAUACAUUAGCAUGGGAUAACGCGACAGGACUGCGAUCCUCAUCUCGUUGGUUUCUGAGGCGCCGAGUAAUGAUUAAUAGGGAUAGUUGGGGUGAUUAGUAUUUAGGCGUCAGAGGUGAAAUUCUUGGAUCGCCUAAAGACUAACUUAUGCGAAAGCAUUUCACAAGGAUGUUUUCAUUAAUCAAGAACGAAAGUUGGGGGAUCGAAGACGAUCAGAUACCGUCGUAGUCUCAACCAUAAACUAUGCCGACCAGGGAUCGGAAGACGUUAUAUUAUACGACUCCUCCGGCACCUUGUGAGAAAUCAUAAGUGUUUGGGCUUCGGGGGGAGUAUGGUCGCAAGGCUGAAACUUAAAGGAAUUGACGGAAGGGCACCACCAGGAGUGGAACUUGCGGCUUAAUUUGACCCAACACGGGGAAACUUACCAGGUUCAGACAGCAGAAGGAUUGACAGAUUGAUAGCUCUUUCUUGAUUUGUUGGGUGGUGGUGCAUGGCCGUUCUUAGUUGGUGGAGUGAUUUGUCUGGUUGAUUCCGUUAACGAACGAGACCUUAACCUGCUAAAUAGUUAUGCCAGCCUUCUAUUUGCCCCCUCGGGGGUGGAACGGCUGCGCGUUAACUUCUUAGAGGGACUAUUCGUGUUUAGCGAAUGGAAGUUUGAGGCAAUAACAGGUCUGUGAUGCCCUUCGAUAUCCUGGGCCGCACGCGUGUUACACUGACGGAGUCAACGAGUUUAACACCUUGGCCGGAAGGUCUGGGUAAUCUUAUGAAACUCCGUCGUGAUGGGGAUAGAUCAUUGCAAUUGUUGAUCUUCAACGAGGAAUUCCUAGUAAGCGUGAGUCAUCAGCUCGCGUUGAUUACAUCCCUGCCCCUUGUACACACCGCCCGUCGCUCCUACCGAUUGGAUGGUCCGGUGAAAACUUCGGAUGGCGACAAUGGUUAGCAGCGGGGUAACUCGCGGCUAACUUGUUACCA
rnacentral:rRNA from 1 species